UCUAGUAUAGCAUUAUACCGCGAAACUGCGAAUGGCUCAUUAUAUAAGUUAUCGUUUAUUUGAUAGUACCUUACUACUUGGAUAACCGUGGUAAUUCUAGAGCUAAUACAUGCUAAAAACCCCGACUUCGGAAGGGGUGUAUUUAUUAGAUUAAAAACCAAUGCCCUUCGGGGCUCUCUGGUGAUUCAUGAUAACUUCUCGAAUCGCACGGCCUUGCGCCGGCGAUGGUUCAUUCAAAUUUCUUCCCUAUCAACUUUCGAUGUUUGGGUCUUGGCCAAACAUGGUUGCAACGGGUAACGGAGGGUUAGGGCUCGACCCCGGAGAAGGAGCCUGAGAAACGGCUACUACAUCCAAGGAAGGCAGCAGGCGCGCAAAUUACCCAAUCCCGACUCGGGGAGGUAGUGACAAUAAAUACUGAUGCAGGGCUCUUUUGGGUCUUGCAAUUGGAAUGAGUACAAUUUAAAUCCCUUAACGAGGAACAAUUGGAGGGCAAGUCUGGUGCCAGCAGCCGCGGUAAUUCCAGCUCCAAUAGCGUAUAUUAAAGUUGUUGUGGUUAAAAAGCUCGUAGUUGAACCUUGGGCCUGGCUGGCCGGUCCGCCUCACCGCGUGUACUGGUCCGGCCGGGCCUUUCCCUCUGUGGAACCCCAUGCCCUUCACUGGGCGUGGCGGGGAAACAGGACUUUUACUUUGAAAAAAUUAGAGUGCUCCAGGCAGGCCUAUGCUCGAAUACAUUAGCAUGGAAUAAUAAAAUAGGACGUGUGGUUCUAUUUUGUUGGUUUCUAGGACCGCCGUAAUGAUUAAUAGGGACAGUCGGGGGCAUCAGUAUUCAAUUGUCAGAGGUGAAAUUCUUGGAUUUAUUGAAGACUAACUACUGCGAAAGCAUUUGCCAAGGAUGUUUUCAUUAAUCAGGAACGAAAGUUAGGGGAUCGAAGACGAUCAGAUACCGUCGUAGUCUUAACCAUAAACUAUGCCGACUAGGGAUCGGACGAUGUUAUUUUUUUGACUCGUUCGGCACCUUACGAGAAAUCAAAGUGCUUGGGCUCCAGGGGGAGUAUGGUCGCAAGGC
rnacentral:rRNA from 1 species